rnacentral:rRNA from 1 species
GACGAACGCUGGCGGCGUGCUUAACACAUGCAAGUCGUACGGUAAGGCCCUUUCGGGGGUACACGAGUGGCGAACGGGUGAGUAACACGUGAGUAACCUGCCCACAACUUUGGGAUAACGCUAGGAAACUGGUGCUAAUACUGGAUAUGUGCUCCUGCUGCAUGGUGGGGGUUGGAAAGCUCCGGCGGUUGUGGAUGGACUCGCGGCCUAUCAGCUUGUUGGUGGGGUAGUGGCCUACCAAGGCGGCGACGGGUAACCGGCCUGAGAGGGUGACCGGCCACAUUGGGACUGAGAUACGGCCCAGACUCCUACGGGAGGCAGCAGUGGGGAAUAUUGCACAAUGGGCGCAAGCCUGAUGCAGCAACGCCGCGUGCGGGAUGACGGCCUUCGGGUUGUAAACCGCUUUCAGCAGGGACGAAGCUUUUUGUGACGGUACCUGCAGAAGAAGCACCGGCUAACUACGUG